UGAGUAGUGCAUUGGCUCUGACAGAAGCCAGGCAGGAUCCCAAGCUGCCUGCUUCCCCUGCAGGCAUACUUGGCUUCCUAUGUCAGCAGCUUGCAUGCUUUCUGGGCUCCUUCACAGUGCUAUAAGGAAGCUACCAUUGGUCAAGGAGCCUGCAAACCUGCGGGGUGGAACCAGGAUCAAGCCCACAUUUUCAGGAUGAUCCAACUUUGGACAGAUAGUCUUUUCCAGAAAUGUGGAGGAUAAAAUCUGGUUCUCCAGCACUCUGAUGACCAAGCAGAUGGUCUCCUUUCCCAGAGCACCGGAGGCAAUGCCAACAGCAGAAGGAGCAACCAUCCUCCUCUAGCCCAGAAGUAGCAGCAGAGGAACAGACUCAAGUGAAGAAAGUUUUUGAGGCGUUUGGAUUCUGGAGGCUGCUUCAGAGCUAUCUUGGAACCUCCUGAGAGGAUUUCCAGAGAUUCUCAUCAGCUCCUCAUAAAAGAUCUUGCCAAGCCAAGAGGCCUCCACCUGGACUGACAUCACAGUCUCACAUAAUAAACAAGAGCCCUGUCCACUAAACCCUUUCAAGCUGUAUGUUUUAAUCAAGUUUUCAGCUGAUGCAAAGAUUUUGGUGAAAAUCCCACUUUGAAAAAAAUCACACUGUGAGUGCCUUUAUGUUUGUGGAUUUCCCCUUCCCUUGAUCACAUUUUAUUUUGUUCCGCUUUCUUUACUAAUUUUGCCAAAACUAACUUCUGCUGGCUUUGGUUUGCUUUACUCCCAGGUUUUUACUUCAAACAUUUGAUUUUGAAAGGUUUUAAAAUCUGGACUUGGGAAUAAAUGUCGCAGGUUUUCAAAGCCAGAGCAAUUUGCUUUAGCAAGCUGGUGUAUUGCACCUGUAUCAGCUUAGUGGCACAAAACAUCUUUGGGGAAUUUUUCGUUAAAGAUUUUUCAUUUUAUUUUCACUUAGACAUCAGAACAAGAGCCUAGCCAAGACUGAUUGAACUUUAAAUAGUUUUACUCACAGCAGUGAGGAGAAACGGGAUGCAUAAAGGGUUUGCUUGCUGUGUGCUUGGCCUGUGUAAACGCCAUGCCAUUAGUACCAAAAUUAUUCACACUUGUGUUCCUCACUUAGUGGGUGAAAAAGAAUAAAGUAUCUGAAGUUUGAGCAGAUAAGGCAAGGGUUCAACCCAUGCUGUGAGGGAAAAUUUACUUUACUAAAGCUGAAGAACUGGCUGAUGUGCCUGACAAUCGUAGACAAUUAGCAGCAUUUUAAGACACAGCCAAAUUUGGCAUUUUUAUACAUGCUAACACUGUUUUGUGCUAUUUAAAUUAUUCACGUGUCUUAUUUUGUAUGCCCAGGGUGAGAGAUCUGCCCUUGUUAGCACACUUCAUGUUGCUGCUCAUGACCUCGGCGUUAUUUCAUAUAGGCAAAAGCUGAUGUUUGCUUCGUUGCUGUCAUUUUACUAGGGAUGGGUCAUUAUGCAAUUAUGGGUCCUUUAAUACACAAAUUAAUUAGCUUAAUUACUUUGUAUUUGCCUGCUCUGGCUGGGCCCUUUGCCUAAUGAAAAGAUCUGUAACGUAGGAGCUGGCUGUCCGCUCUGAACUUGUCAUUUCUCCACACGCGCUGCUCUGCCACAGCUUUUGCUGGGCACACAAAACAGGAUGACAAUCAGAAUGCGCAGAGGGGAGAGAAACUAAUGAACAAAGCCUGUGUUUGACAGCUUCAAUGUGCUGAAGCCAGCCAACACCUGAAGUCACCUGAUGCCGGUUACAGGCACACCUGCUGACAGAAGCUGGGGCAUCUGCAGGGAAGAUGCAGGUCUAGAAGAUGUGCUCACAGCCCAUCAGAGCUGGAGGAAUACAGCUCAGGCACAGCCCACUGCUGGCUAGGCUGGGAGCUGCAGAUACCUACGUCUUGGCUGAAAUGGUCUGUCGACUGGCAAGGAGACCCAAAACAGGCAAGGGAGAUGGAUUUGUUUCAGCCCAUCCUUCUGUCAUCCUUAUGUUGGGUAGGAGCUUUCCAAAGCUGUCGUUACUGGACUCCUUGAGAAGUAUCAAAGUGAAUUUGUCAUGAUUGGAAGGAACUGGAUCACCAUCUAAGGCCAUCGGGGAGGAGAAGUCAGAGAAGCAAGUGAUGAGUAGAGUUCAAAGAGAAAGUACUCCUGCUGGACCCGUGCCGGUUCUCAGGUCCAAGCUCGGCAUCCAUAUGGGCUGGACACAAACCUGUACUUGGUCAGAGCACUUAGAGGACUGAGGCACACAGUGGGAGCCAGCCACAUCCCUACAUGUAACUGUGCCAGCAUGUAAUCCCUCUCCAAACAUCCUGCUGAGACUCCACCUGCACUUCUUUUCUCUCAUUCCAGAACCUACGAGUUUCCUCACCAACUGCCUCCUGGUUCUGCGGGCACAGCCAUCUGCAGUGUCUGGAGGUGGAAACCUGAGAGCGCUCCUUCAGCUGCUUGGUGCCUGGUCAUGUCAGCUCUCCAGUCACCUCCACUCAGCAACAUCUACUGGCUUUUUGGGUACCUUCAGAAACAAGGAAGUCAGAUAUAUUCCCUGUAGAAUAUUCCCUUUUUUGUCCUUCACUAAAUGCUGAGGUUGGAUGGGACCUCUCAAGAUCAUCUAGUCCAACUCCCCAUGCUCAAACAGUGCCAGCUAAAGCAGGUUGCUCAGGACAUUGUCCAGUUGGGUUUUGGAAUAUCUCCAAAGGCGGAGACUCCACAACCUCUCCGGGCAACCUGUGCCGGUGUUUGAUCACCUUUACACUAAAAAUAAAUAAAUUUCUACAUUUAAAUGGAAUUUCUUGUGUUUCAGUGUGUGCCCAUUGCCUCUUGGCCUUUCAGUGGGCACCACCACAUUGCUGGCUCACUUGUAGUCUGCUGGGAUCCUCAGGGACAGCUUUCCAGCCAGCCAGCCUUCAGCAUGUACUGGUGCAUGGGGUUAUUCUUCCUCCAGGGCAGGACGUUGCAUUGCACUUCUUGAAUUUUGUAAGGUUCCUCUUGGCUCAUUUCUUCAGCCUGUCAAAGUCCCCCCGAGUGGCACCAAACCCAUCUGGUGUAUGAACCAUUCC